UACGUAGGGUGCGAGCGUUAAUCGGAAUUACUGGGCGUAAAGCGUGCGCAGGCGGUUAUGCAAGACAGAUGUGAAAUCCCCGGGCUCAACCUGGGAACUGCAUUUGUGACUGCAUAGCUAGAGUACGGUAGAGGGGGAUGGAAUUCCGCGUGUAGCAGUGAAAUGCGUAGAUAUGCGGAGGAACACCGAUGGCGAAGGCAAUCCCCUGGGCCUGCACUGACGCUCAUGCACGAAAGCGUGGGGAGCAAACAGG
rnacentral:rRNA from 1 species